AAAUCUCUCUGACUUUACCCUGCUAGAAGAAGAAAUGAAAGUGAGAAUCUUCCAUACUAUUAAAAUGGGUCUUCUUUCAUGUGCAUCUUCUACAAACAUUCACAACUCCUGUGACGGUGGUACCACUUAACCCUAUUUGGAAACCUCAUUAACCUCUUUCUUGAUGCCUGUGAAAUGAGAUUUGUUAGAUAUUCUGCUCUUUAAAUAUUUCUCUUCUGUUAAGCUAAAAGGAAAAUAAAAUAAAAGCAGAAUAUAAAGACCUGGGAAACAUCUAAUCAGUGAUGUGCUGUUUGUCUUUCAGUAGAGUAAGUGUAGAAUAUGGACCUCCAGGUUUGCUGCUAACUUGAGAUCCACUGAUAUAUGUUCUAUACAAUUUUUUUGGCUCUUUUGUUUCAGGUAAAUGUACAUUCAUAAACCUUCUGUUCAAACUUAUUAUUAAAAUAUAGACAUGAAAAGAGGUUAUGAGAUGUAGCAAAGAACCAGAGGAUUUAAUUCUAAUAAUACAAUCCACUGCUAAUAAUGGAUAAUUUGCUUAUAUUCUGAGUAGGUCAUUGUUCCCUGAAAUGAGCCAUUCCCACUGCUUGUUUUAUUCCUCAGCUUCCUUGCAUUUCUCACUGUAUGUUUAAAGUCCUACACCAAAAACUCCAAUAGGUCUCUAAUGACAAGAAAAAGUGGAAUGUCAGCCUGGGCAAGUGAAUUCUAGACUUUAUGUAAAGAAAAUAUCACCCUUUACAGUAUAAUCUAAACAAUAUAAAUAUUCUCGGAGAUGCAUAGCUAGCUGUAGCUUCACCUCACGUGUUUGUUCAGAUAUUUUGGCCACCAAGCUCUAUCAGUAUCAUGAUCAGGAGAAAAGCCUUAUUUCUCAAAUGAGCUCACAACAGUUAAAUUCUGAAUUGUACUUCUAUUUUAAAUAUGUCAGUCCUUUUUAUUUAAAUAUUUUGAAAUGUGUAGCUCCUCAAUAAGCUCUGUUUAUUUCCAUGAGCAUUUUUCCUGGCUAAGUGAUUAGGCAGGUCUCCUGGUGUCCCUGUGAGAACAGGAUUUUAUUAAAUGGCUUUGAAGAGAACUGAAUGGUAGAUGCUGCUAGAUUUAUGGAACUGCUGGAUCAGGAAUGCUAAUUUUUCCUAGUGUUAAUAUAUUUGGGUGAUGUCUUCCUGAAACAUGGCUGAAGUCUGUAGCCUGUACCUCUUGCUCUAGUAGAAGAGCUCAUGAUGAAUGUACAGUCAAAUACCCUUAAUGUUUUGCAGAUGCUGUGAACACCAAUUACAGAACGCUGACUGCAGUGAAGGGGUUAAUGAUUAAUUAAGUAUGAUGAUAUGAAUUAGGUAUCAGCAGGGUCUAGGGUAAUUGAUGUCAGGUGAAUGGGAAACUCCCCAGGAUAAUGUCGGUGCCAGAGGGAGUGGUGAUUAGUGGGGAUAAAUGCUGGUGUGAUCUGCAUCUGAUGAAGGCAGAGCUGAAAUGUUAGUGGGACUGGUUGAGAAUAAUAAAUGCUUUUCUGUUCCCAACAGAGAAUAAAGGAGAUUUUGAAUCAAAAUAUGUAAACACAGGUAGAACCCUUUCCACAUCUAACAAGUGCAAUAAGACAUACGCUUUUAAUACAUAUCUGUAUAAAGCUUUAGAAAGCAAUGCUAAAAGUUCAUUGUAAUCCCUAAUCUUAAGUGGUUUCAAGAAAGGGAGGAAGUUGAGCUCCAUUAUUUUUCUCUGUUCAUUAAAAAAAAUGCAGAACAUUCUUCGAAGUGUAGAUGAAGACUUUGCUGUUCUUCCAUGUAAUCAAUUUGCAAACUAGAUUACAAAUACUGAGGUGCACCUUUGUAAACCUUCUUGAUGGAAAAUAUCGGUAAGCUUUGCCUCUAUUUAGCUUUAGAUAGCUAUAGUUAAUACUGUUGUCAUAUGGAUAUGUUUAAGAGGGGCUUCUUCAGACAGCUCUAAACAAUUUUGAUUGACUUCUAGAAAAAAGUCUGUUGUGUAUGUCAUAAAAUGUUGUACAGGAUUUGUAGGAUAUAAUAACUCAAUUAAAGAUUGUCUCAUAAUGCAUGUGUUUUACCGAGGUGAAUUGUGCAAGAAAACUCAAUUAUUCCAUUACCUAACUUAGACGUGCUUAAAAAUGUUCUUUAUUGAGCAAUCCGAUACAGUAACCCACACAGGCAAUUGUAUAUCUUCUGUAAUUAUUUUACUUUAAAAUCUCUACACCUCCACAAUACUUGCAAGGGUAAUAAUGGUGCUUAUUUAUUUACUCUCAGCAAAUCUUAUGAACUUUUGAUGUGAAUCUGGGCCACGUAAAUUUAGCUGACAUGCCAAAGAAGAAAAACAGAGAGAAACUGAAAGUUCUCUAAGAUAUCCAAAAAAGGAUUAAUUUGCAGAAAUUUGAAGAAAUCUGACAAUGAUCUGUGGAUAACACAACCUAAACACGGGUCACAAAAAGAGAAAGUCAAUUUCUGCUCUGUGUCUUUACAGUCAUAAAUUUAGCAUGAUUGUUGAAUGGCUGGAUAGCUCAUUAUCUGUACAUACUGUAUAUGUCUGCACUGUACUACUCCUGCAUUAUAUAGGAAGGUAUCUUUAAAUCCAAAAUGAUAGACAGUAAAACAAUGGUGAAUUUGUUCAUGUAGCUACAUUAGCAGAGGGUGGUCUAAAAUUAGUUUUACUGCUAUAUGUGAGAAUAGAUUCUUAGUGAUUAUUAUAGUCUGGAUAGGUGUAAAUGUACAAUUAAUAAUUAUUUAUUAUUUUUUCAGAUUAACACUAUUUAGAUUUUAUACAUAUUAUUUUUAUAGAUAAAUUUGCUUAGUUAAUAUUAGGUUAAUGAGUGGGUUCAUCUAUGGAGUGUGCAAAAUGUACAGUUUCACACAUUUUGUGAAAGAUCUAAUAAUAGAUUUCGCUCUCCAACAGAUGGUCUACAUAUCUCUCAAAUAAAAAAUACAAACUUAAUCUGAUUAUGAAUUAAUUUUUAUGAGUUACAUAACUUUUAAUUCACAAGGAACAUAAUGUAGUCAUAUAUACAGUACUACAAAUGGAAUAAUUCUGCUUUACUUAGAGGUGUAUGUGUUCUGCAGUGAUGCCAAAAUUUCUCACUGAAUUAAUGUCUUGCUUUGCUGUUGAAGUUCUUAAAGAGCUUUAUGCAACAGACUGAAGAACAUUAUCUGUUCCUUUACAGCAGGGAAACUUGAGGAAGAGAUUGUUCAGGACAUCCAAUUUUUUGAUGUGUUUUAUUCAACAGAACUUUCAUGGAAGUCAGCUGGAACUCCCAUUGACCUUUGUAGAGCAACACUUAUGCCAACACAAAGCAGUUGGUGCAUUGGAGAGAUCCUGUAUCUUCACUGUUUACCUUGUUUGGAAACCCUGACUCUUCUACUAAGAUCCCUUUCACCAGGUUUCAGAAGAAAGGGAAGUGAAGACAGAAAUUAAUGAAGAAAAAGGAAGAAAGCAGAAGAAAAAAUACACAAUAUCAAACAUUUCAAUUAAGACUGAAACAGAUUUUCAAAAUGAAGUCUGAUUUCAUAAUUUUCUUCAGAAAAUUUAAAGGAGAAGAUUCUAAAAAAGUUUUCAGAAAAACAUUGUUCAGCAUUUUAAACCAAUUCUGUUGUUCACUUACACUUGUUCU